GUUGGGUAGGGGAGCGUUCUGUAAGCCUGUGAAGGUGGCCUGUGAGGGUUGCUGGAGGUAUCAGAAGUGCGAAUGCUGACAUAAGUAACGAUAAAGCGGGUGAAAAGCCCGCUCGCCGGAAGACCAAGGGUUCCUGUCCAACGUUAAUCGGGGCAGGGUGAGUCGACCCCUAAGGCGAGGCCGAAAGGCGUAGUCGAUGGGAAACGGGUUAAUAUUCCCGUACUUGGUGUUACUGCGAAGGGGGGACGGAGAAGGCUAUGUUGGCCGGGCGACGGUUGUCCCGGUUUAAGCGUGUAGGUGUGUGUUCCAGGUAAAUCCGGUUCACUUUAACACUGAGGCGUGAUGACGAGGCACUACGGUGCUGAAGCAACAAAUGCCCUGCUUCCAGGAAAAGCCUCUAAGCAUCAGGUAACAUCAAAUCGUACCCCAAACCGACACAGGUGGUCAGGUAGAGAAUACCAAGGCGCUUGAGAGAACUCGGGUGAAGGAACUAGGCAAAAUGGUGCCGUAACUUCGGGAGAAGGCACGCUGACACGUAGGUGAAGUGAUUUACUCACGGAGCUGAAGUCAGUCGAAGAUACCAGCUGGCUGCAACUGUUUAUUAAAAACACAGCACUGUGCAAACACGAAAGUGGACGUAUACGGUGUGACGCCUGCCCGGUGCCGGAAGGUUAAUUGAUGGGGUCAGCGCAAGCGAAGCUCCUGAUCGAAGCCCCGGUAAACGGCGGCCGUAACUAUAACGGUCCUAAGGUAGCGAAAUUCCUUGUCGGGUAAGUUCCGACCUGCACGAAUGGCGUAAUGAUGGCCAGGCUGUCUCCACCCGAGACUCAGUGAAAUUGAACUCGCUGUGAAGAUGCAGUGUACCCGCGGCAAGACGGAAAGACCCCGUGAACCUUUACUAUAGCUUGACACUGAACAUUGAGCCUUGAUGUGUAGGAUAGGUGGGAGGCUUUGAAGUGUGGACGCCAGUCUGCAUGGAGCCGACCUUGAAAUACCACCCUUUAAUGUUUGAUGUUCUAACGUGGACCCGUGAUCCGGGUUGCGGACAGUGUCUGGUGGGUAGUUUGACUGGGGCGGUCUCCUCCUAAAGAGUAACGGAGGAGCACGAAGGUUGGCUAAUCCUGGUCGGACAUCAGGAGGUUAGUGCAAUGGCAUAAGCCAGCUUGACUGCGAGCGUGACGGCGCGAGCAGGUGCGAAAGCAGGUCAUAGUGAUCCGGUGGUUCUGAAUGGAAGGGCCAUCGCUCAACGGAUAAAAGGUACUCCGGGGAUAACAGGCUGAUACCGCCCAAGAGUUCAUAUCGACGGCGGUGUUUGGCACCUCGAUGUCGGCUCAUCACAUCCUGGGGCUGAAGUAGGUCCCAAGGGUAUGGCUGUUCGCCAUUUAAAGUGGUACGCGAGCUGGGUUUAGAACGUCGUGAGACAGUUCGGUCCCUAUCUGCCGUGGGCGCUGGAGAACUGAGGGGGGCUGCUCCUAGUACGAGAGGACCGGAGUGGACGCAUCACUGGUGUUCGGGUUGUCAUGCCAAUGGCACUGCCCGGUAGCUAAAUGCGGAAAAGAUAAGUGCUGAAAGCAUCUAAGCACGAAACUUGCCCCGAGAUGAGUUCUCCCUGAGACUUAGAGUCUCCUGAAGGAACGUUGAAGACGACGACGUUGAUAGGCCGGGUGUGUAAGCGCAGCGAUGCGUUGAGCUAACCGGUACUAAUGAACCGUGAGGCUUAACCUUACAACGCCGAAG
rnacentral:rRNA from 1 species